UCGCCCCUAGCUCAACGGAUAGAGCUCCGGUCUUCAGAACCAGUGAUGGGAGUUCGAUUCUCUCAGGGCGCACCA
rnacentral:tRNA from 1 species